GACGAACGCUGGCGGCGUGCCUAAUACAUGCAAGUUGAGCGCUGAAGGUUGGUACUUGUACCAACUGGAUGAGCAGCGCACGGGUGAGUAACGCGUGGGGAAUCUGCCUUUGAGCGGGGGACAACAUUUGGAAACGAAUGCUAAUACCGCAUAAAAACUUUAAACACAAGUUUUAAGUUUGAAAGAUGCAAUUGCAUCACUCAAAGAUGAUCCCGCGUUGUAUUAGCUAGUUGGUGAGGUAAAGGCUCACCAAGGCGAUGAUACAUAGCCGACCUGAGAGGGUGAUCGGCCACAUUGGGACGGAGACACGGCCCAAACUCCUACGGGAGGCAGCAGUAGGGAAUCUUCGGCAAUGGACGAAAGUCUGAACGAGCAACGCCGCGUGAGUGAAGAAGGGUUUCGGAUCGUAAAACUCUGUUGGUAGAGAAGAACGUUGGUGAGAGUGGAAAGCUCAUCAAGUGACGGUAACUACCCAGAAAGGGACGGCUAACUACGUG
rnacentral:rRNA from 1 species